rnacentral:lncRNA from 1 species
CCCCAAAAUAUAAGCAAAUGUGCCUGUUUAAGGAAUCUCACUGACAGGGUAAAAGGGCACAAACACACAGGGCAGAGAACAGGCAGAGGAAGAGAUGAUGCCACUGGGUUAUAAAAGCUGGACAGCAGAUGAUGGGUGAGGGAACCCACUGAGUUGGCCAGAGAAAACUGGCAGCAAGUGCCUGCAGGAAGGUUGGGCGAGGCAGAGGCAGGUACAUGGCACCCCAGAGCCCUGAAAGGACCGAGACCUCUGCAGGGAGCACUGAAACCUGAGGGGUGAGAUGAAAGUCCCCAAGGACCCUCAUCCCCCUUCACGCUCAUGGAAGAGUCCAAGGUGAAGCAGUUGAACCAGGGAUGCCCUGACCACAGGAAUGGGGGUUCUACACAGAAAACAAAUGUAAAUCUGUCUACUGAACAAUGAGAUCUGCAGACUCCUUCUCCCACCUCGCCCUCAGGAACAGCUGCCUAGGACAGGAGAUAAAGACUUUCCUAUCUUGGGAAGCACCCCUGACUGAAGACAAAAGAGAAAGCUCCCGGAAGAUAAUGAUUUGGAGUUCCCCAACAAAGGACCACGGCCCUACCCAGGCACCCCACCAUGUGACAGGCCCUGCCCAGACACACGGAGCAUGCAAAGGUGAUUAAUUGCCUCACACUCAAAUAUCACAGAACAUGAGACAUUUGAGAACUGCUAACACGAGACACAAACAGGAAAAGGUCCUGGGGAGAUGCCAGUGCUCCUUGGCUGGGGACCUAGUCUUGGAUCUGUCAGAAGCUGGCUGUGUGGCCUCGGCAAAGUCCUGUCCCCUCUCUGGGCCUCAGUUUCCGUGUAGUUGAGGAGAAUCUUUCUGGCCGGGAACUUGCCUCAACAUAUCUCCUACUGGGGCAUGUGAGUCCUUUGCUCUGCUUGAGAAAUUAUCCUGAAAACCAUUGGGUUAUUUUGUGGAUCUCACCUGGAUGACCUAAAGGGUGUGGAUUUCAAGGGCAGAAGAAAACUUAUCAGUCCUCACGGUGCAUGAAAUUCCAGCAUGCUCCUCUAAAGGGGACCCUUGAAACAAAUAAAUUUCAAUGGAUGAUACUCAAAGGAUGUGUGGGAAGAGCGUGGCUAGAGAAGGAGGUGGUGAGCCCCAGCCUUCUAGGAUGGCAGGCCAGGCUUCCAGAACCUUCCA